rnacentral:rRNA from 1 species
CGGGUUGCUCCAGCAGUGAGGAAUAUUGCACAAUGGGGGGAACCCUGAUGCAGCAACGCCGCGUGGAGGAUGGCGCAUUUCGGUGCGUAAACUCCUUUUAUAUGUCAAGAAAAUGACGGUAGCAUAUGAAUAAGCACCGGCUAACUCCGUGCCAGCAGCCGCGGUAAUACGGAGGGUGCAAGCGUUACUCGGAAUCACUGGGCGUAAAGGACGCGUAGGCGGGUUGGAAAGUCAGGUGUGAAAUCCUACAGCUUAACUGUAGAACUGCACUUGAAACUUCUAAUCUAGAGUAUGGAGGGGGAGAUGGAAUUAGUGGUGUAGGGGUAAAAUCCGUAGAUAUCACUAGGAAUACCUAAAGCGAAGGCGAUCUCCUGGAACAUUACUGACGCUAAGGCGUGAAAGCGUGGGGAGCAAACAGGAUUAGAUACCCCCGUAGUC